GUCUUCCCACAUCUUAUAUUACAAAUAUAUGUAAACUAUAGAAAACCCAGAAAAUGUCACAUUUCUUUAGUUUAAAAAGAGAUAAGAUUUUGGCAGGUAAUGUAUUUAAGGUAAUUAAGAUAGAGAGAACUGUAAAGUAGGCUAUGUUCCAGAAGGGUGAGUCUAGUUUGGCUUGAGAAUAACUGAAGAUGAGGUUGGAAAAAUAGGUUCAAUUCAGAUCACUUGAUGAUCCUGAAUGUUACACACAGUAAAGAAUUUGGACUUGAUUUCAACUCUCUAAGCCUGUUUCAUCUGUACAAUUAGGAAAAUUACUAUGUUGUGAGGAUUAAUGGAGAGAAGCAAACACAUGGGAGAGAUAUCCUGUGACAAAUGGAGCAGAUGUUAUUAGGAGUUGGAGACACAGAUUCUUUUCCUUAGUGUAAACUAUCCCCACCUCUCAGGGUGGCCUGAAAUUCAGUCUCUCAUUUAUCUUAUUUUUCUGUAAUGCACAUCUUAACCACCAGAGAGAGCCUGAUACAAAGGAAUCUCAACUCCAAGUACAACAGAGAAAUUAAGCUGGGCAUAAGAUGUGGAAUCCUGGAUACAACUGCAGCGAUUCUCAAUGGUAGGGUAGGGAAUGGAUCCCAGUGCCUCCUCUAUGGGCCUUCUUAGACCCAUCCCAAGGAGAGGGGGUGGGGCAUGCUGCCACAACCUAGAAUUUAGCAGCUAGCCAGAUGUAAGGUCACCAGGAAAGAGGUGAGGUGGGUAAGGAUGAGGGCCAGAUCUAGUUUAGGGACCUGAAUUUCUGUAUCUCAAGCAAAAGAGACUCUCAACUCUGCUCAUAAGCCACCAGGCCCAACUCCUUCCUGGGCUACCCCAUGGCAGGCCAGGUCAUCUAGCUGGCCCGGGAACUUUAGAAAAUUUCUAAAGAGCAGGGGGUGCAUCGUGGGGAAGGAGGAAGGGGAGAGAGUGGCAUAUCUAAGAGCUGUCUUUAGGGUGACAUCCACAUGGCAUCAAGACCUCAGCCUUUAGGUCUAUCAGAAAGGGCAGUGGGACCUAGCUUCUCCAAUCAUGAUUCACUAGCCUGGCAUCUUACAGCAUUUUUACAAAACCUCCUUUGCUUUCUUGGAUUUUUGUUACGAAUGUUAAAAUGAAAGCCUAGGGACAUUGAACAAUUUACCUGAGGUCGAAGAGCAGCAGCCAAGGGCAGAAGUGGGCCUGUAGGCAAUAGGAGUGGCUCUGAGGGGCUGAGGAAAGGGAAGGCAAGCAGGUAGAGCAACAGCCUGCUUGUCAAGCUGCAAGCAUUGGCUCUUGGCCAGGCCUCAUACCCACUCCUCCAGGGCCAGCUCUGCUGCCAGGCCCCAGGCUGCCAGCCCUACCUCCACACUCCCACCCCAGUCCCCUGAGAGCCCAUCACCUUGGCAACAGCCAGAGAAAGGCCCAGCUAAAAUAUUUAUGGCUCAAAACAGCCUAGAGGCUUGGGAGGGGGGAAGAGGGAAAGGCUGAUGUCAUCCCUUCUCAGCUUACAGGGGAGGUGACUGACAUACAGGGCAGCUGGGUGGGUGGGCCAAGCCCAACAAGUCAGGGCUCUCAAAGGAAGAUCCCAAGGGCCAUAAGUGGUAACAGGAGGAGGACGAAGACUGUGACAGGUGACAGGACUGGAUAAGACCCACAAGCCUGGGAAAAAAGGAGGAAGGAAACUUAAAGGUUGAGCAGUAUUGUGUCUAGACCCCAUGCCAGGCAUUUCAAACACAUCAUUUGCUUCUCAGAUCCCAUUCAGUACGUAGCAAUUCUUAUCCUACUUUGAUGGAGUAAACAGGCCCUACAGCUCUUCUUAAAGCAAAAAAAAAAAAAAAAAAAAAAAAAAAAAUUAAAACAAGCUCUGGAAAUAUGCAAAUGAUGAGCUGGGAUUUGAAUUCAGAUCUGUUUGGCUUCAGCCCUGUAAGCUUUCCUAUAAAAUUCUGUGGCUCCCGAGUAGAAAUCCUAGCAGACUGAAGGUAUAGCGAUCUAGGAACCUAACACCAGCUCCUCAGUCAGUGACUCAGGUUCUGUGCCUCCAUUUAUAUAUGAUGAAGAUGCCAUCUGAUUCCCUAAUUCCCCACCCCAAACUCCUCCCUUGUCAGCCCUGGACUCAGAGCAUCCAAUGUAAACAACAGGGUGACAAACUCAUCGAGGCUGGCCUGUGACUUUUCUAGUUUUAGCACUGGAUAGUCCCAUAUCCCAGAAACUCUCUCUUGGGUAAACCUAGAUGAUCUGUCAUCCUAGACGAACCCCUCAUGCAAACAUAAUGCUUUAAUAUUUCAAAGCACUUGUGGCUGUGAGAGGUACAAACAGGUCAAAAGAAUAGGCCAUGAAGUCUGAUAGUAUAGACCAUGAAGUCUUUUUCUAACCAUAGGCAAAUUUUUUAUCCUCCUUGAGUCUCAGUUUUUCUUAUUUUCCUGGUACAUACUAAGAAAUCAGUAAAUUAUUAGCUGUUAUUUACAGUAAUCAACAAUGAUGACAGAAACAGGCUCAGAGAUUAAAUAGCUUGCCCAGUGUAAAUCAACUGACUUUAAGGAAUCCCUUUCCAUUAUACUUCUGUUCCUGCUAAGGAUGAAUCCAAGCUCACUAGAAUGCCCCAGGCACAGUUAAAAUGCAGAUAGGCUCUAUUCUCUCCCUAAACUCAGUCCUUCCCCUUGUUCCUUUGUUAGGAUAAAUAACCAGAAGGCAUUAGGGAAGAGUACAGUAUCAGAGGUCCCUAGCCUCUCAGGAAGCUGAGUAUAAAUCAACCUAGAAAUAGGCCAGAGGAAACCAGAAGCCUAUCAAAGGCUGACUUUCCAAUCCUUCAAGGGAAAAUGGCAGAACAAAUAGCUGGCCUAGUAUAGCUGGAAGGAAAGUGAGAGCUAAACAAGGGGGCUUUGGCUCUCUCCCAAAGCUGAUAGAAGCUACCAGAGUGGGACCAUUCAUCACUUGACCAAACCUUUAUUGAGGUCCUCAGGGGCAGAUAUUUGUUGGGGAGAAAUAUAGUACAGAGGUGGAA
rnacentral:lncRNA from 1 species